GUGUUUGCUUCAGUAACACGUAUAUUAAAUAACUGGAAUAAUACUGAGAAGAUUAGCAUGGCCCCUGCCCAAGGAAGACACACAAAUCUGUGAAGCCUUCCAUAUUUUU
ensembl:snRNA U6 U6 spliceosomal RNA